rnacentral:rRNA from 1 species
AUGCCACCUUCCGUGCACGAUACGGAAGGCCUGCCGUUCAUGAAGCAUGGUUGUGUCUUCAGUGCGCACCGCCGGAUGAACGUCAUGCUGGGACACGCUAUCCCUGAUUUAUGCCGCUUCAGCCUGGAUGAGUCUCCAUCGUGUGGAACCGGACUAGAAAGUUGCGACAAUGAUUCCCGUUGCCCACCGCUAUGGAUCAUGCCAUCCAUGAAGAACACCUGGGACUGGAACCUGGAGGAGGACAUUAGUACUAGUAGAAUUGAGAUUGAAUGCACUUUCUUCCCCGUCUUCCACUCUUCUUCCUCCUCUCUUCUUCUUCCUCCUCUCUUCCCCAUCGUCGGCCAGACACCAUUUACCCCCGCUCACUGCUCGCCCGCCCGCGCCAUCUUCCUUGUACGAUAUAACUGGAAUUACCGAUGCAAGUCGAAGAAGGAUUGGCCGGUGCUGCCGGCUGGCGUCAAGUUCGAUCCCACGGAUCAGGAGUUGAUCGAGCACCUUGAGGCCAAAGUGAGUGCUGACAGCGCGAGAUUUCAGUCUCUCAUCGAUUUGUUCAUACCAACCAUCGACAGCGAGCACGGCAUAUGCUACACCCAACCUGAGAAACUUCCAGGUAUCACACUGAGUGGCCUAAGGAAGCAUUUCUUCCAGCGCAAUUCCAGGGCGUUCAAAAGGGGCACGUGGACGCGUCGCAAGAUACAGUCGGAGUGCGGCAUGCACGCGAUGUGGCACAAGACCGGCAAUACCUUGCCGGUGAUGGUCAACGGCCGGCAAGACGGGCAGCAAAAAAGGUUCUGGUGCUGCACACCAACAAGAACUUCGACCAGCAGAGGACCAACUGGCUAA